rnacentral:rRNA from 1 species
GCAUAAUCAAUAGUUUUUUAAUUGGAAACUUGAAUGAAAGGUAGAUACUAAAAGGAAAGUUUUAUUUGGUUAGUUUGAACUUAAAUUAAAAUUAAAAAUGUUUUUAUUAAUUUUGGGGACGAGAAGACCCUAGAAGCUUAAAUUGUAGUAUAAUAAAUAAUUUUGGUUGGGGUAAUUAUUUGAAGAUAAGAAUUUUUGAAAGGGAUUAUUUUUAUGAAUAUAAAAAAGUUACUCUAGGGAUAACAGCGUUAUUUAAUUAAUGAGUUCUUAUUAAUAGUUAAGGUUACGACCUCGAUGUUGAAUUAAGU